GCCAUUGUGUUUACACUUUCAAAGAGUCUCGUAUCAUAUUAUCCAUGCUGUUGUCUGUCAGGGCUAUAAGAUGUGUGAAUGCAUUGGUAGUGUCUUUGCCAGAAUACGGUCCAACAACAUCAUGGUUGUAACAUUGGGGACGUUCGAGUCUCAAUCACUGCGGCAGUAUAGCAAGGCAUCAUAUUCGACGCAAAAAUUUUGCAAUAUAAGUAUCAGCUGAGUAUCUGCAGAAAAACAACACUGUCGCAAUAUUGCUGCAGUUAUUUGCUUGCUCGAACAUCCCCAUUAUGUUAAUUGUUCGUUUAAUGGCCAUGUAUAAAUAAAGAACAGUUUUUCCAGUCACUUCAAUCCAGACCAAAAAAUAUAUCACUAAAUGUUGAGUGAACACUUUGACCAAUAAAUGGACUAAUUUUUAGUACAGCAUUUGCGGACGAGCAAUUAGCUGCUGUAGUGUAAUGUUCCCGAAAAUUGUUUAACAUACAUAUUUUCAAGUGUUUGUCUUUAGUUCACGAACGCGGAGGCUUUUAAGACAUUAAUGGGUGUGAAUGGUACAAAUAGUCAGGGCAUUGCGACGAAUCCGUUGGCGGAAUGGGUGUAAAAAGUGAGCGAAGCCGCGGGUGAAUUUUUCAACGCUGGGAGUGCUGGACUUUAUCUACUUCAAAGCAAGAUUAACCACAGUCGUGUACCAAACGCUCACUCGACAUGGCCUUAUUCAAACGACACAGUAGUUGUGUUGAAAGCGGUAGCACCUAUACAAGUUGGUGUAGAAAUUUACAUAUCUUACUUGGAUACUUUAACAAAUACAAACAAAAUUUAAUUCUUUCUCUUCAUUUUCGAUAUUUGCAAAUUUCGGAGGAAAAAUCUCCAGUCCGACCCAAUCACUAUUAUUAUUAUAUUUAAAUUACUCAAUACUAAUAAACAGUAUAACAAUAAGAACUAUUUAUAUGUAAGCUUUUUACCAAAAAAUAAUGUUAAUAUAGUAAAUACCAUAAAUGUAUCUAAAAAAUUUAUUGUAAAAG